AUGCAAAAUAUAUAUUUUCUAUAGUUAUAGUUUUGUUUGGAAAAAAAUAUUUUCUGAAUAUUUUCCGUAGCUUGUAAAUCUUGGUAACUGCAUGCCACAAUCAUAAUGACCCAAUAUAAUUAAAACCCCUUUAAUAUAAGUUCACGAUACAAAAAAAGGGAUUGGCAACCAUGAAUAAUUAGCAUGAAUGGGACAAUACAAUAACUUAUUUUUUUUUGCACAAGCCUAUCUACAACUUUUCGGUACAUGCAAAAAUAUAAUUGAUUGUUAAUUGAUGUGCCUUUAUUGUAAUUUGUUACCCUCAACAUAAAUCUAUCUACAUAGAACAAACGAGUAGACUUUGCUUGUGUGUUGUUUUAUGAGCUCUGUUGGCACCAAGAUGUAAUCCUACUGUAUUGCUCUACUUAUCUUGCGUGUUGACAUGAUGCAACGCAGGCUAGGGGUUUUCCUCGGAGUAUCGCUGUCUGAAAGAAGAAGACAGAGGUAAUCACUUUAAUUCCUUUCUCUUUGGCAGUGUGCAAGGACAGUUUCUGUUCAAUGAUGAGUCCCUGUAAUUCUGUUUUGGUUGACAGGAGUGCUGAUGGACGAAAGUAUAAACAAGUCCAUUAAACACUCUAUAUAUUAAUCAAUUGAAUUUGAUUCAAGCUUUGAAUCAAUUUCCAUACGUCACACGGCAGAGAGGGGGCGUGAGAAUGAAUAGUGGUUGCACGUGGGGCAUGUCUGGCCCCGUUGCACAUAAUAACACACCGAAACCUCUGCGCUCUACGUCUGUUGCUACCUUCCGAACUCAAUGGAACAAUGCACAUACACUUUUCAUGCACGCUGCAACUAAAUUCUAACCUAACAUUGCAGGAGGAUAGACAUCAAAAUGUACGGAGCCACAUAUGUGCAGCAGCCUUAAAAUCACAUCAUAAAAGUCAAAACAACGACAAAAAAAAGUACAGUUUGUUUGACGUUACGCCCACAACUGACAGCUUCCCAACUAGUUGCCAAAGAUUUACUUGAGCGGUUAACCGUGUUUGUUUGUUCCUGGCGCAAUGUCCACUCACAGUCUCUCCAAAACUGUCCAGAGAGGCGGGGCUUGAGCAGCGGCACGUUGCCAGGCUAAAUUUAGCAGCGCGGGAGAAAGAGUUCAAUGGAGUGACGUUGUAAGCGUAGGCGGGCCGGGGUUCCCUCCCUCCUUGUUUACAGUUGCAGGGUUUCCCUGAAUGUGUGGGAUGAGUUUAGGGCUAAUAUAUGGAGAACGGCUGGCUGCUCCUGGGCAUAACUCAAAUGGAGAGGAUGGAGGCACAUCCAGACAGCAUGCAGAAUAACUAUGUGCUGGUCCACACUGAGAACACAUGUGCACGGUCAGACCCAUCCCGUCGCAUCAAGGUGCUCCUUGCCCACAUGGUAGUGGCCAUAGUGGUUGUAUCAGUAAUGAUAGUGGCAUACCUGGUCUAUCCGGCGAACGGAGCUGCAUCCCAGGAGGUGUCGACCCGUAAAAAAGUUAACAUAACCGGCCCGCUGAAAGACCCUAACCACCAGGGAGAAUAUGACAUAUUCACGGCUGAAAAAACGGCUGCCUACUUAAUCUAUGGCGAGCUGAAGUGCAUUGAGCACACAUACGAAUUUAUUUAUUUGUAUCAAAACUGGAAAGAGCAAAGCCCUGAAAUCAUCCAAACUAAGAAGUAUCACUAUCACGAUUCCUGCAUUGUAAAAGAGGUCAAUCUCAGACAAGACAGCAGGGUUUAUCUGCUCUUUAAUAUCGGCACGCCCAAAUGCAAUGAGUCCGUGUUCCGUGUCUAUGAACUGUGAUGGGCAGUCUUGGUUUCAGAAACAAUGCUUGUUAACCCUGUAUCAACUGUAAGGGAUUAAUUAAAGCUCAAUCAACUGUAUAUGUGUGCGUCUGUUUAAAAUAACUGAAACUGAAAUAACUAAUUUAUUUUGAGGAAAAAGGCCUUUAAGGGAAAUAAGCACUGUAAAAGUGUACCUAAAUCUAAAUAUGGGCUAUAUUAUUUUGUAGAUAAUUUUUUUUGAUAUUAUCUAUCUAACAAUUGUCAAAUACCAAUCCUACAUUGUUACCAAAUAUACAUUGUUUUUCCUGUUUAAUGAACCUUUGUUACAUAAUUCAAUUAGUAAACAUGCCUAUCCUGUUUAAAAA